rnacentral:rRNA from 1 species
UGGGGAAUCAUGGUCAAUGGGCGAAAGCCUGAACCUGCGACGCCGCGUGAGUGAUGAAGGUCGUAAGAUCGUAAAACUCUUUUCAGCGAUCUUAAAGCCUGUCUGUCAACAACAUGCAGAUCUGACUCUCCCUGGAAGAAGCCCCAGCCAACUCCGUGCCAGCAGCUGCGGUAAUACGUCGGGGGCGAGCGUUAUUCGGAAUUACUGGGUGUAAAGGGUAUGUAGGCGGCUCUUCAAGUCGCGUGUCAAAGUCCAGUGCUCAACGCUAGGUGUGCACGCGAUACUGACGGGCUUGAGGGCUGGAGAGGUGAGCGGAAUUGCCGGUGUAGUGGUGAAAUACGUAGAGAUCGGGAGGAACACCAGCGGUGCAGGCGGCUCACUAGACAGUUUCUGACGCUAAGAUACGAAAGCGUGGGGAGCAAACA